AUGCAUCUCACUGCAGUGUGUGACUUCCUGACACCACCCUCCCCGGACCAGCCAAUCACUAAACGCCUCUCCAACUCUUCAGCCUCCCUGCAUUCACCAGAAAGAGCAUCCCCCAGCCCCCAGCGACCGGCCUACAAAUGUUCCCCCUCCAGGAAGGCAAGCAAUGGACCCCCGGAAGACAAGACCCCCAGAACACCCACAACAGAGAGAGGCCCCGCCUCCUGUCUGACUGACUCUUCAAUGAGACGCCUAGAAUCUCCGACCACUCCCACCCGAAGCUCCUCCCCCAGAGCCCAUAGCAAAGCAAUGGGCACGCCCAAAAGGUUUCUUGGUUUUCCUGUUUUUUAUUUUGUAUUAUAA
rnacentral:lncRNA from 1 species